rnacentral:rRNA from 1 species
UACAGAGGUCUCAAGCGUUGUUCGGAUUCAUUGGGCGUAAAGGGUGCGUAGGUGGCGCCAUAAGUCAGGUGUGAAAUCUCGGGGCUCAACCUCGAAACUGCACUUGAUACUGUGGUGCUUGAGUACUGGAGAGGAGAUUGGAAUUUACGGUGUAGCAGUGAAAUGCGUAGAGAUCGUAAGGAAGACCAGUGGCGAAGGCGGGUCUCUGGACAGUUCCUGACACUGAGGCACGAAGGCCAGGGGAGCAAACGGG